AUGUUCAAAGUGAAAUUUUCUCUUAUUCAUUUGAAUUGUAGAAGCCUGUAUUCAAAUUUUAGUAAAAUACAUGAUUAUUUGAACACAUUACAAAAUAAAUGUACUGUUAUAGCUUUGUCUGAGACCUGGUUAACAGAUGAGAAAGGUGCAGAAUUUUAUUUUGAGGGUUAUGAAUUGUUUUAUGUUAAUCGGAUUAAUAAGAGAGGAGGUGGGGUUGCUCUAUAUGUUAGUAGUGAUCUGAAAUGCAAAACAAUUGAGUGUAUGACUACUGCAACAGAAGAUUUAAUGGAAUGUUUAAUUGUUGAGAUCGAAAUGAAGAAACAGAGGAAUGUUGUUGUCACAUGCUUAUAUAGAAUUCCAGGGUCUAGUAUUACAGUAUUUAAUAACAAGCUGGAGCAAUUAUUAGUUGGGAUGAAUGAAAAUAAAGUGUCUGUAAUUUGCGGGGACUUCAAUAUAAAUCUCUUGAAUGUGUCUAAUCAUACUAGUAGUUUAGAUUUCCUAGAUUUAAUGUAUAGCAGAGGCCUUUAUCCUACCAUUACUAGGCCUAGCCGAAUAACCUCCAGUUGUGCCACAUUAAUUGAUAACAUUUUUGUAAAUAUAUUGGAAAAAACAGUCAAAAGUGGUCUUUUGAUAAAUGACACAACUGAUCAUUUGCCGAUAUUUCUAACUCACUUCUGUGAAGUUAAAAUAAAUAAAGAAAAGUUUAGUAAAGUUAUUAGGUUGAGAACUGAGGAAAGAUUAAACAGAUUUAGGGAUGAUCUUAUGAAAGAACACUGGGACAAUGUUUAUAGUACAAAUAAUGUAAAUAAGGCUUAUGAAUUCUUUCUUGAAAAGUAUCUAUGGUUAUAUAAUAAAAAUUGCCCAAUAAAAAUAUUGAAUGAUGAAGCAAGAAAUAAUAAUAAGCUUUGGUUAACGAAGGGUAUAUUGAAAUCUUGUAAAAAGAAGAAUAAGCUUUAUCGGGAUUUUGUAAAAUAUCGGACCGUAAACGCAGAAAAAAAAUAUAAAGCUUAUAAAAAUAGGCUGACUUCUAUAAUGAGAUGUGCAAAAAAAGAUUAUUAUACAAAUUUGUUGAUGGAAAACAAAAGCAAUAUCAAAAGAAUGUGGAAAGUCUUAAGGGAGGUUAUGGGCAGUAAAAUGAAUUAUAGUCAGCCAUUAUACUUAAUGAAUGAACAGAACGUUGAGAUAAGUGGUGAAAAAAUGGCUGAUGAAUUUAAUUCAUUUUUUGUCAAUGUUGGUUCAAAUCUUGCCAAAACUAUACCAUCACAUGAUGAAAAUAAAAGCUGGACAGGUGAAAGCAGAGUCAUGCAGUCCCUUUUUUUAAAUGAAGUUAGUGAGAGUGAAAUUAUUUCCACUGUCUCUAAAUUAAAAAGCAAAUUUUCAUGGGAUAGUGAUGGCUUAGAUAUGUAUAUUGUUAAAGAAACUAUACGUUGUAUUAUUAGACCAUUAAACUAUAUAAUUAAUUUGUCUUUUGAUACAGGUUUCUUCCCAGAUAAAAUGAAGGUGGCUAAAAUUAUUCCCCUUUUUAAAUCUGGUGAUAGACAUAGUCUCACAAAUUAUAGGCCUAUAUCUUUGCUUUCUCAAUUUUCAAAAAUUCUGGAGAAGCUUUUUGUUAAACAAUUUGAUUGUUUUCUUGAAAAACAUUCUUUGAUACAUGAUAAUCAGUUUGGGUUUCGAAGUACCCGCUUAACAGCUAUGGCUUUGAUGAAAAUCACAGAAGACAUUACUACAGAAUUGGAGAAUAAAAAUCACACAGUUGGAGUUUUUAUUGACCUUAAAAAGGCCUUUGACACUCUUGAUCAUGCUAUAUUGAUAUCUAAAUUACAGACAUAUGGAAUUAGAGGUGUAGUAUUAAAUUGGAUUAUUAGUUACUUAGAAAAUAGACAAUAA
ensembl:lncRNA